rnacentral:rRNA from 1 species
UACGGAGGGUGCAAGCGUUAUCCGGAUUCACUGGGUUUAAAGGGUGCGUAGGUGGGCAGGUAAGUCCGUGGUGAAAUCUCUGAGCUUAACUCAGAAACUGCCGUGGAUACUAUUUGUCUUGAAUAUUGUGGAGGUGAGCAGAAUAUGUCAUGUAGCGGUGAAAUGCUUAGAUAUGACAUAGAACACCAAUUGCGAAGGCAGCUCACUACACAAUUAUUGACGCUGAGGCACGAAAGCGUGGGGAUCAAACAGG